UUGCAAAUUGAACUGCAGGGUUGGAUGGGGCCAAAUUAUUCAAUUUCGACUGCAUGUGCUACUAGCAACUUUUGUAUAUUGAGUGCCGCCAACCACAUCAUUAGAGGUGAAGCUGAUGUGAUGCUUUGUGGUGGAUCUGAUGCGGCUAUUAUACCAAUUGGUUUGGGUGGGUUUGUAGCUUGCAGGGCACUUUCUUAGAGAAACAAAGAUCCUACUAAAGCUUCACGACCAUGGGACAGUGGUCGUGACGGAUUUGUCAUGGGGGAAGGAGCUGGGGUUUUACUCCUGGAAGAGCUCGAGCAUGCCAAGAGAAGAGGUGCAAAUAUAUAUGCUGAAUUCCUGGGUGGAAGCUUCACUUGCGAUGCUUAUCACAUGACAGAGCGUCAUCCCGAAGG